GGGCCGCUAGCUCAACCGGUAGAGCAGGUGACUCUUAAUCACCCGGUUAGAGGUUCGAGUCCUCUGCGGCUCA
rnacentral:tRNA from 1 species